rnacentral:rRNA from 1 species
AGUCUAGCCUGCCCAAUGAGGAUUUGAAUGGCCGCAGUAUUUUGACUGUGCAAAGGUAGCAUAAUCAUUAGUUUUUUAAUUGAAAGCUGGAAUGAAAGGUUGGACAAGAAAAUAGCUGUCUCUUUAUAAAUUAAUUAGAAUUUUAUUUUUAAGUUAAAAAGCUUAAAUAUAUUUAAAAGACGAGAAGACCCUAUAGAGUUUUAUAAAUUUUAUAGUUAAUUUUUUUUAGUAAUUGUUUAAGUGAAUUAUAAAAUUUAUUUUAUUGGGGUGAUAGAAAAAUUUUAUAAACUUUUUUUUUAAUUUUACAUAUAUAAAUGAUUUAUUGAUCCUUAAAUUAAGAUUAAAAGAUUAAAUUACCUUAGGGAUAACAGCGUAAUUUUUUUGGAGAGUUCAAAUCGAUAAAAAAGUUUGCGACCUCGAUGUUGGAUUAAAAUUAAAUUUUGGUGUAGAAGCUAAAAUAU